rnacentral:rRNA from 1 species
GACGAACGCUGGCGGCGUGCUUAACACAUGCAAGUGGAGCGACGAACCAGGCUUCGGCCUGGGGCAAAGCCGCGAACGGGUGAGUAACACGUGGGUAACCUGCCCCGAUGACUGGGACAACCCGGGGAAACCCGGGCUAAUACCGGAUGUGCUUUCACCACAUCAGUGUGAAAGUAAAGAUAGCUUCGGCCUUCGCAUCGGGAUGGGCCCGCGGCCCAUUAGCUUGUUGGUGAGGUAACGGCUCACCAAGGCGACGAUGGGUAGCUGGUCUGAGAGGACGAUCAGCCACACUGGGACUGAGACACGGCCCAGACUCCUACGGGAGGCAGCAGUGGGGAAUCUUGCGCAAUGCGCGAAAGCGUGACGCAGCAACGCCGCGUGAGUGAAGAAGGCCUCCGGGUUGUAAAGCUCUUUCAGUUGGGACGAAGCCUGGCUGGUGAAUAGCCUGCCCAGGUGACGGUACCUUCACAAGAAGCCCCGGCUAACUACGUGCCAGCAGCCGCCGUAA